rnacentral:rRNA from 1 species
GAUGAACGCUGGCGGCGUGCCUAAUACAUGCAAGUCGAGCGAACGGACGAGAAGCUUGCUUCUCUGAUGUUAGCGGCGGACGGGUGAGUAACACGUGGAUAACCUACCUAUAAGACUCGGAUAACUUCUGGAAACCGGAGCUAAUACCGGAUAAUCUUUUGAACCGCAUGGUUCUACAGUGAAAGACGGUCUUGCUGUCACUUAUAGAUGGAUCCGCGCUGCAUUAGCUAGUUGGUAAGGUAACGGAUUACCAAGGCAACGAUGCAUAGCCGACCUGAGAGGGUGAUCGGCCACACUGGAACUGAGACACGGUCCAGACUCCUAAGGGAGGCAGCAGUAGGGAAUCUUGCGCAAUGGGCGAAAGCCUGACGGAGCAACGCCGCGUGAGUGAUGAAGGUCUUCGGAUCGUAAAACUCUGUUAUUAGGGAAGAACAUAUAUGUAAGUAACUGCGCACAGCUUGACGGUACCUAAUCAGAAAGCCACGGCUAACUAAGUG